UAGUUCAGUGGUACAAUGCUCACCUUCCAUGUGGGAGGCCUGGGUUUGAUUCCCAG
rnacentral:tRNA from 1 species